rnacentral:rRNA from 1 species
GGGGAAUUUUGGACAACGGGGGCAACCCUGAUCCAGCCAUGCCGCGUGAGUGAAGAAGGCCUUCGGGUUGUAAAGCUCUUUCGGACGGAAAGAAAUCGCCGCCUCUAACAUAGGCGGUGGAUGACGGUACCGUAAGAAGAAGCACCGGCUAACUACGUGCCAGCAGCCGCGGUAAUACGUAGGGUGCGAGCGUUAAUCGGAAUUACUGGGCGUAAAGCGUGCGCAGGCGGUUUGGUAAGACAGGUGUGAAAUCCCCGGGCUUAACCUGGGAACUGCGCUUGUGACUGGAAAGCUGGAGUGCGGCAGAGGGGGAUGGAAUUCCGCGUGUAGCAGUGAAAUGCGUAGAUAUGCGGAGGAACACCGAUGGCGAAGGCAAUCCCCUGGGCCUGCACUGACGCUCAUGCACGAAAGCGUGGGGAGCAAACA